rnacentral:rRNA from 1 species
GAUGAACGCUAGCGGCAGGCCUAACACAUGCAGGUCGAGGGAGAAGCCCUUUCGGGGGCAGAAACCGGCGCACGGGUGCGUAACGCGUAUGCAACCUACCUUUCACAGGGGGAUAGCCCGAAGAAAUUUGGAUUAAUACCCCAUAAUAUUAUUGGAUGGCAUCAUUUGAUAAUUAUAACUGCGGUGGUGAAAGAUGGGCAUGCGUCCUAUUAGCUAGUUGGAGUGGUAACGGCACCCCAAGGCUACGAUAGGUAGGGGUCCUGAGAGGGAGAUCCCCCACACUGGUACUGAGACAGGGACCAGACACCUACGGGAGGGAGCAGUGAGGAAUAUUGGUCAAUGGUCGGAAGACUGAACCAGCCAUGCCGCGUGCAGGAAGAAUGCCUUAUGGGUUGUAAACUGCUUUUAUAUGGGAAGAAUAAGGUGUACGUGUACAUUGAUGACGGUACCAUAUGAAUAAGCAUCGGCUAACUCCGUG